CGCGCUAUCGCUGUAGUAACCCGCUUAGAUGACACAGAGGUUUAAUGACAGCAAUCUGUUUCGAAGUUCGAGCCGGACGAAGUGUUAGUGGAUUGGUUAAUAAAAGCCGCGCUCCCUGUGGGAAGUGAAAGUGUCCUGGGGAUUCCCUUACGCCACACACUUUCGCUUAACCGCUUUCAGAUCCGUUGUGGUAGUCAUUCAGAUCACCGCACGAAAACAAAUUCCAGGGAAGUACGUUGCUACGUAAUCUUACCCUGCAGUGUGUGGCACAUGCGUUACUAUAGUUACGUCUAACCCAACAGUCCUGGUUUCGUUCAGUGCCUUUCGAAGGUUCUUGCCUUGAGCGACGUUACGAAGUUUUACGGAAAAUUUGAGGUUAGGAUAACAUCGGGUGCCCUUAAAACUCACCAGAGCUGCUUAGAGCCCCUUCCUUCACUGUACACAAAAACAAUUUCCGAUUGUUCACAAUAUACUUGAUUGCCGACACGCCACUGCGUCGAGAACCAAGGAUGGGGCAGUAAACAUCUUGAGAGUGAAGCUGAAAGAAGGUGCAGGCAUUAAUACCUGCUCCGUGAUCAACAUCUCCAUAUACCUGUCUGGACCAACACAUACAACACACUGGACUACACAUCUAUACCCUAUAAGAACCGCCAUGACCAUUAGGAUUUAAGGUUGUCCCGCUGGCGAAUACGAAGAUGACCGUCUUCUGGGUUGUUGCGCCGUGUAGUCUGGUAGAAGUUUACGGACGUUUCAUGGCCCUGAUGUUGCAGGAAGCAAGCACCUCUGAAACGUCGGUAAACUUCUAUCUGACUACACGGUGCAACAACCCAGAAGACUGCCGUCUUCAUAUUUCUGGUUAAUUUAGUCUGAAAUGAUGAAAAAAAACUACAGACCGAUACUGUUUAAUAAAUGAAGAAAUUGAUUUUUAAUGCUGAUUAUACGGAACUUAACACCGUAUCAAUGCAUAUGUUGGAAAACACACUUAACAAACAUGUGAUAUACAUGUUUUAGUGGGCUCUCAGUUUACGUCACUCUAAGAACACUUACGAAUUAGCUGAAUCCCGUCAUGAAGGAGGGGUCAGUGAAUGACGUCUAAAUCAUUAUUUUACAUAAGAAUACAGCCAUGUACCUGCUAAUAAAAUUAAGUGGUUGCGAAUUAAAUAGUAGUACUAACAGAA